CGGUCACUAUGACAACCUCAGACGCCUUGCGUUCCAGAGCAGCCGGUGGCGGAGUUGAGAGGCCGUGGAGACCCCGGUGGCAUGAGGCGGCAGGAGGCGCUGGCAGGGACAGCCUCAGAGGCGGGCCGCGAAGGGGAGCAGCCUAGGCCGGCAGGGCUGGGGUGCCGCACCCGUGCUGAGCCUGGUGGCCCCCAAGAGUCUCGCCAACAAUGGAAAACAUUUCUAUACUGUGAACCGCAUAAGAGAAUCAAGGAGGUUUUGGAAGAAGAACUUUCAAUCAAGAGAGAUGAAUGCCAUGUGAAAAGCCCACCUACAGUGGCCCUGGAUGGAAUCUGGAGCAUUAGAAGGAAUCUCCCUGUGGGAGGCACCAUAUCAGGACAGCAGAGCAGAAACAGCUCACUUCCACAAGCCAAGUACUACUCGAGGCACGGAGGACUGAGAAGAUAAGAUGGACACAUCUUUCCACAGAGAUGGAACUUCAUUCACCUAAAGUCUAAAGGCAGAAGAAACCCAGGCUUGUUUCUCAAUUAAGAUACACGGGGGAGAAAAAAGGUUUUACCCUGUAAUACUAAUAUUUUUAGGUGUUGUGUCCUCCCUCCUCCAAAGCAUAAGCUCAUCUAAGGCUGCCCAGCCCUCCGUUCUCAAACUCAGCCCUGCUGCUAAUGGAGUCUAAUGGAAUAAACUCAAUAAUGAUUUGUUGA